rnacentral:pre_miRNA from 1 species
AGAGUGCGUUGUAGCCAAGGAUGACUUGCCGGUGUGUCAUCUAAGCACUACACCAAAAUUGUCAAUUAGGAACAUAGAGGAAUGGUUCCAAACUGUUCCUACUUAGGGCAUCACUUGUGAGUUGGAACGCUUUUGUAAGCCAAUUUAGAAUGACUAAAACCGUCUCAAAUCUGGAAUGGUUUAAGCUGUCUCAAAAGAACCCCUCUUCGCUAGCUAUCCUUAUUUUUCUUAAAUAUUAUAGGAACCGUUCAAACCGUUUCAAAGUCGAACCGUUCCUAAUAAAAUAUGUAUCUUUCCAAAUUUACAAUUUUGGUGCAUUGAAGAGAUGGCCAUCGGCGGGUUGUUUCUUGGCUACAUUGACCUAUCU